CUUUCCCUAUCUUACAUUCUUAUUAUACUAACGUAAGGAGAUUAAAAUCCCUCUCUCUCUCUAUAUCUCUCUCUCUCUCUCUUCGGAAGACGAGGGAGUACAUGAUUGGUUGGUUCUUUGCUUUGCUCUUCUUCUUCCCGUCUCUUUUUAAAGGAAGACGAGAGAAUACCAUGAAGGACACACCUACCGUGUCGUCCGUUUUUAUGGUAUUCGAUUUUGUGCCCUAAAAUCCUUUACGUCGUUUCUCUGAAACCCUAAUCCGAUCGUCUCUAAUCGUCGUUGUUGGUGGUUGGUUUUCGGUUGUCGGUUUUCUUCUGUGUUCUAUGAUAAUCUCAUCUGUAGAUACGGUUUCUACGAUGGAGCUGACCCUAAUUUCAUGACUUCUUUGUAUCUCUAACCCUAGAAUUUUCCUUCCAUGGAGGGCUCUGAAGACGAUAUCGGGGCCCCGGAUUCAUGGGAAGUGGCAGAUUUGGACGAUAGCAUGAGGAGAUUGAUGGUCUCCAACAAGAAGAUAUCUACAGCCUCGUCUCUGCCCCGGAUUUCAUCGUCGGAGUUCGCCUCUGGCGAUGAUCUUCCGUCAGUUGCUACUGUUGCUGGUGUUGCUUCCUUGUCCGCUUCUGCUUCUUCUUCCUCUGUUGAUUCUGAGAGGAUCGGAGGAGUUUCUGAAGAUGUUGUCAGUCAGGUGGAUCAAUUCCUCCGGGAAGCUUUGCAGAACCCUCGUGAGCGGCUAUCGGUUCUGAGGAUGGAACAAGAUGUUGAGAAAUUUAUUCGUGAUCCUACACAACAGCAAAUGGAGUUCCAACAACUUCCUACAUCUUAUUUGCGCUUGGCAGCGCACCGUGUGGCUCAGCAUUACUACCUGCAGUCUAUGGUCGUAUUAGACAACAAUUUACCUGAUAGCUCUGGUUCCAGGAUUGUUGUCCGCAAGACUUCUGAGUGCCGAGUUCCUCCAAUUCGCCUGGCAGACAUUCCUAUAAACUUACCACAAGAAGACAGCACUAAUGCCAUGAAGGUUGCAAUCAAACAGAGACCGCAGAAGCGAGCACAGUCGGCCAACAGUGCAAAUCUUCACACAUCUAAGGCAAACCACUCAAAAAGUGUGGAGGAACGAAAAGAGGAAUAUAACAGAGCCCGUGCCCGGAUAUUUAGUUCUAACAUUAGUGGAGGCACUGUUGGAAAACCAGAAGGCGAGCCGACUGUACAGGACACUUUUCAAUCCUGCUCAUUGGGGUCAAUGGUAGAAGAGAAAUCUGUUGCUGAAUACCCUGAUUCCAACCUUAUUAGAAGUGUCAGUGAUUCUUCUUCGGGUAGCAGUAGAUCGGGUAGAAGUAGGACAGAGAAGGAACCUGUUGUUAGGUACAAGGCCAACAACAACAGGGUAGCAAUAUUUCGGGAUCGUGAGGUUGAGCGGAAUGAUCCCGACUAUGACAGGAACUAUGACCGGUAUAUUCAAAGAUUUGAUCCUGGGUUUGGGUUCAAUGGAGGACCAUAUCCCAUGCAGCCCUUGUAUUCCCCUGCACUGAACUACAACACUGAAUUCCCUCAACUUGGAUCUGCACAUAGGCCUCAGAUUUCUAUGGAUCACCAACCUCGGCCAAUUCCUCAACACCUACGUGGACCAUGGGCUGCGUCAAACCCUGCAGGAAUUAGCUAUGGUCCCCCGGAGUCCAUGAUGGCCUCGUUCAAUCCGAAUCAUGUUGGUGCACACUCCACCUCAGCUAUCUAUCUGUCGUCCUCGCACUAUCCCUGCCCACGCCCUGGAAUGCCAUUCUCCAUCCUCACGAACAUGUGCAUCAACCUUUUGCUCAGGAUUGGACGAGCUCUCAGGAGGCAUGCUGUGACAUGAUGAUGACGAUGAUGGCGAUGAACACAACAAACAAUGAGAGAAGCACCCAGAGUUGGGAUGCAGGUAUCUGAUGGGGAUGAAGCACCAUAGGUGUGGAACUUUUGGAUGGUUGGAAGAACACCCCCCCCCCCU